UCGGGUUUCGAUCACGCUCCACGCUCGUCACGUUGUGUGUGUGGUUAUAUUGGUUGAUGUGACAACAGGUUUCUUAUCUAAAGAUGCAGUACCCGUCAGUCAGAUGUAUGCGCUUCUUAGCGACUGUUCUGAGUUGUAUUGGCGCCACUCUGAGCUGUCAUGAGUCAUGAGCCCAAUGGACCAGGAAUGUAGUGUUUGACGAUGUCGCAAUCACCGACCACAUCAUACUCCCUCUGAGUGAAGUCGGAACGAUAUUGGAUUGUAUCUGGGAAUGUCAACAGUACCGUAACUGUGUGUCGAUUUCCUACCAUUAUGAUGGCACGUGCCGACUGCAUUCAUUGGUACUCGCAAACAGGACCGGUUAUCUCCCUUCGCUUGGAUGGCGCUACUUCAAUGCUAACGCAGGUCGAUGUCCAGUCGAGAAUGGAUAUGUGUUGCUUGACAUUGUGAAUGUAUGCAUUAAGGUGUCCGCCGACGCAAAAUCACACUAUGAAGCCCGUCAGACUUGCACCCAAGCAGGCGAUAGACUGAUUAUACUGGACACGGCGGAGAAAAACUCAGCUGUUAAAACAUACUUCGACAAAUGUUGUUGCUCUGCUUUUAGUGUGCGGAAAUCGGAACCCUUCUUUUAGCAACUAACACAGUGGCGGAUCCAGAAAAUCCAUUUAGGGGGGCCCCAGUGACAUGAGGUGUAAUACCAAGGGAACUUUGAGGGAGGUUUGGAGGGGGAUCGUAAAAAAAAUGAAAAUUAAUAUAUAAUAAAAUUAUAACUACCGCAAAAUUUUGAUUCGCCUCUGCAACAUUUUGUCAAUUUUUUUUAUAAGUAGCAUAAUAUAGUAUAGACGGGUCCACGAGUACAUCAUUAAUUAUAAUAAAGGUCAAUGAUUCAUCAAGUGUUAAAAAACAAUUUCAUUUUUUUUUUUUUUUUAUCAAUGAACCAGGUAACUGAUUUUGUGUCAUGCAUUAAAAGCUGUAGUUUUAAUUGUAUGCAUAUAUUGCACCUUGGAAUGAAGGUUUACAAUACUGAAUAUAGUGGAGUAGUUUUGAAGAAGUCAAAGCAAUUACAAUAUAAAACAAUUCUCUAUAUAACUAUAUUAAAUUUCACCUCGUCUUCGGGGACAAAGGUGCGACCCAAUAUUUGUUGACAUUCAAAAUUAGAUAAAGGAUCUAUUGUCCUUACAUAUAUGACGACUACUCGGUUAUACCAUUACGGGAAGUAGAGGUUUUUUUAACUGACAUAAGUAUUCCCUUUUGGGCUCUACCCUCUGGUCUGCUUGGUCUGAAAGACCAAAUUCACAAAUUGGUUCUCCCGUGUGUGAAUGACAUGUCCCACAAAAUGA